rnacentral:tRNA from 1 species
UCUAUAAUAAGCUAAAAUUAAGCUAUUAAACUUUUAAUUUAAUAAUGAAAAUUAAUCUUAUAGAA